rnacentral:rRNA from 1 species
AGCGAACGUUAGCGGCAGGCCUAACACAUGCAAGUCGCACGAGAAUCCGGCUUCGGCCGGUAGUAAAGUGGCGGACGGGUGAGUAACACGUGGAUAAUCUGCCCUUCGGCGGGGGACAACAGUCCGAAAGGAUUGCUAAUACCGCAUACGUCAGCGAGGUCUUCGGACCUUGUUGGGAAAGAUGGCCUCUUCAUGAAAGCUAUCACCGAAGGAUGAGUCCGCGGCCCAUCAGCUAGUUGGCGGGGUAAUGGCCCACCAAGGCUAAGACGGGUCGCAGGUCUGAGAGGAUGAUCAGACACACUGGAACUGAGCCACGGUACAGACUCCUACGGGAGGCAGCAGUGGGGAAUAGUGGGCAAUGGGCGCAAGACUGACCCAGCCAUGCCGCGUGAGUGAUGAAGGCCUUCGGGUCGUAAAGCUCUGUGGGGAGGGAAGAAACCGGACGUGGAUAACACCCACGGCUCUUGACGGUACCUCCUUAGCAAGCACCGGCUAACUCCGUGCCAGCCGCCGCGGUAAGAC